rnacentral:rRNA from 1 species
CCUACGGGGGGCAGCAGUGAGGAAUAUUGGUCAAUGGCCGAGAGGCUGAACCAGCCAAGUCGCGUGAGGGAAGAAUGUCCUAUGGAUUGUAAACCUCUUUUGCCGGGGGACAAAAGGCCGGACUCGUCCGGUCCUGAGGGUACCCGGAGAAAAAGCAUCGGCUAACUCCGUGCCAGCAGCCCCGGUAAUACGGAGGAUGCGAGCGUUAUCCGGAUUCAUUGGGUUUAAAGGGUGCGCAGGCGGGCCUUUAAGCCGGCGGUGAAAUCGCGGGGCUCAACCACGCCGAGCCGUCGGAACUGGGGGCCUUGAGUGCGUCGGAGGCAUGCGGAAUGCGCGGUGUAGCGGUGAAAUGCAUAGAUAUCGCGCAGAACCCCGAUUGCGAAGGCAGCGUGCCGUGCCGCCACUGACGCUGAGGCACGAAAGCGCGGGGAUCGAACAGGAUUAGAUACCCCUGUAGUC